rnacentral:rRNA from 1 species
AGUGAACGCUGGCGGUAGGCCUAACACAUGCAAGUCGAACGGCAGCACAGUAAGAGCUUGCUCUUACGGUUGGCGAGUGGCGGACGGGUGAGGAAUACAUCGGAAUCUACUUUUUCGUGGGGGAUAACGUAGGGAAACUUACGCUAAUACCGCAUACGACCUACGGGUGAAAGCAGGGGAUCUUCGGACCUUGCGCGAUUGAAUGAGCCGAUGUCGGAUUAGCCAGUUGGCGGGGUAAAGGCCCACCAAGGCGACGAUCCGUAGCUGGUCUGAGAGGAUGAUCAGCCACACUGGAACUGAGACACGGUCCAGACUCCUACGGGAGGCAGCAGUGGGGAAUAUUGGACAAUGGGCGCAAGCCUGAUCCAGCCAUACCGCGUGGGUGAAGAAGGCCUUCGGGUUGUAAAGCCCUUUUGUUGGGAAAGAAAAGCAGCAGGUUAAUACCCCGCUGUUCUGACGGUACCCAAAGAAUAAGCACCGGCUAACGUCGUG